UACAGAGGUCUCAAGCGUUGUUCGGAUUCAUUGGGCGUAAAGGGUGCGUAGGUGGCGCUGUAAGUCGGGUGUGAAAUUUCGGAGCUUAACUCCGAAACUGCAUUCGAUACUGCGGUGCUUUGAGGACUGGAGAGGAGACUGGAAUUCAUGGUGUAGCAGUGAAAUGCGUAGAGAUCAUGAGGAAGACCAGUGGCGAAGGCGGGUCUCUGGACAGUUCCUGACGCUGAGGCACGAAGGUCAGGGGAGCAAACGGG
rnacentral:rRNA from 1 species